UGCUCUUGAGUAGCUUCUUAUCAUGGUUUUUCUUUAAGAUGGAUUUCUUAGGGCUGUGGAGGUUGUUACUUCAAUGAAACCUGCUACUUGCAUGUAGCCUGGUGGGAUAUGGUUUCAGAGGAGGCUUCAGUAGGGGAAUCCUCUAUUGCGUUACCUCUUCAUGCUAUUAUCUGAUACAAUGGAUCGUAUCUUUCAGAGGGGUUAGAUGGCAGAUAUUUCUUGGAGGCUAGAUCCUUGGAGAAAGCAUAUCGCUUUUGACAAGCAGCAUAUGGAUUUCUACGGGCUGGAUUUCUCUUUGCACACUCUUGGCUUGGGCCUCACUCGCCGGUUGUAGCAGGAAAGUUUGGAGGACUUCGUAAUUGGUUUCCUCCAUUUAACCUGGAGGCAAUGUGAUUUCUACUUCUUGUAGAUGGACUCCCUCUGGGAUAUUUUCAGUUGGCCCAGUGUAUAUAUUUCUAUCUUGACAGUGUAUGUAGCUUAAUGCUGUGUGCGAACUGACUCGGCAUGUUUGGACAUGUUUCCACGAAGGUUGAUUGAUCAUAGAGAUCACACUGGCAUUUGUAUUGGACGAGGAAUUGUUAGAUAUAAGUAUCCCAUGAGUUUAUUUGUAAAUUGUACAUGUAAAUACGAUCUAAAUCUUUUAAAAUGAUCUAACUUAUGUGUAGUGAGUUUUGAGUAAUUGGAUAUAAGUUGAAUGUGUAAAACCUUU